rnacentral:rRNA from 1 species
GAUGAACGCUGGCGGCGUGCCUAAUACAUGCAAGUCGAGCGAACAGACGAGGAUCUUGCUCCUCUGACGUUAGCGGCGGACGGGUGAGUAACACGUGGAUAACCUACCUAUAAGACUGGGAUAACUUCGGGAAACCGGAUCUAAUACCGGACAAUAUAUUGAACCGCAUGGUUCAAUAGUGAAAGACGGUUUUGCUGUCACUUAUAGAUGGAUCCGCGCCGCAUUAGCUAGUUGGUAAGGUAACGGCUUACCAAGGCAACGAUGCGUAGCCGACCUGAGAGGGUGACCAGCCACACUGGAACUGAGACACGGCCCAGACUCCUACGGGAGGCAGCAGUAGGGAAUCUUCCGCAAUGGGCGAAAGCCUGACGGAGCAACGCCGCGUGAGUGAUGAAGGUCUUCGGAUCGUAAACCGCUGUUAUUAGGGAAGAACAAAUGUGUAAGUAACUAUGCACGUGUUGACGGUACCUAAUCAGAAAGCCACGGCUAACUACGUG